UACAGAGGUUGCAAGCGUUAAUCGGAUUUACUGGGCGUAAAGCGUGUGUAGGUGGUUGUACAAGUCGGUUGUGAAAUCCCUGGGCUUAACCUGGGAACUGCUUCCGAGACUGCACGACUCGAGAUCGGUAGAGGGCGGUGGAAUUUACGGUGUAGCGGUGAAAUGCGUAGAUAUCGUAAGGAAGACCAGUGGCGAAGGCGGGUCUCUGGACAGUUCCUGACGCUGAGGCACGAAGGCCAGGGGAGCAAACGGG
rnacentral:rRNA from 1 species